CACUUGGCCAGAUUCUCUCUAACAGACAUCCCACAUUGGUUACUGGGAACUGACCUGAAGAACUGGAGAAAAGCUUCUGUCAGCAGUACAGCUGGAAAGUAAGAGUGUUGCAGAGCUACCGGGUCAGUCCUUCAUUGCACUCACCCAGCAAAGAGGCAGUAGCUGUUGUAAAGAUCAGGAUUGAUGGGACCGUUGCAUGCAACACGUGGCCUGUAGAGCUAGAUAAAUACAUUGCACAAUGGAUUUGUCCCAGUCACCUCUUUGGAGAGGGAACGAAGAUCCUGUCUGUGCAAGCCAAUGAAAAGACCUAAUGGGAUCUCACAGGACACAAACCUUUGUAAGAGCUCUUCACUCAGAACCACAUAAAUUGGAGAUAACAAAAUGGAAAAGAAAAAAAAAAAAGGCACAAAAAAAAAAUAAAAAAC